CCCUUAGAUGUUCUGGGCUGCACGCGCGCUACACUGAUGCGAUCAACAAGUUUUUCCUAUGUCGAUAGACACGGGUAAUCUUUUGAACUCGCAUCGUGAUGGGGAUAGAUUAUUGUAAUUAUUAAUCUUCAACGAGGAAUUCCUAGUAGGUGCAAAUCAUCAGUUUGCAUCGAUUACGUCCCUGCCCUUUGUACACACCGCCCGUCGCUGCUACCGAUUGGUUGAUCUGGUGAAUUAUUCGGACUGCCGGCUGAGGGGGUUUCCUCAUCUGCCAGCGGAAAGUCUUGUUAACCCUAUCAACUAGAGGAAGCAGAAGUCGUAACA
rnacentral:rRNA from 1 species